GGGGGGGGGGGGGGGGGGGGGGACGGGGAGGAGAGAGAGACACAAUCACAAUGUCACUGAUAAAAAUAAAAUUUAGAAAAAAAAUCUUGCAAUUGCAAUAGAACUUUUCUCUCAAAGCACACUUUUUUUUUUGGUACUUUCAUAUGAAUUAUACUGUACUUUUAUGCAGAUCCAUAGAUUUAGAGGAGACUAAAACUUAGAGUUCCUCAAACCUGUGCGGAAGCAUAUCAUAGCUC
rnacentral:misc_RNA from 1 species